rnacentral:sRNA from 15 species
AAGACGUUCUUCAAAUAACACACACACGUCGACACGUCACUCGGGGUGCCUGAUUUCAAAUGAUUUGAAAUUCGGUCGAGUGUAUGGGAUGUGUGGAGGCCUAAC